GACGAACGCUGGCGGCGUGCUUAACACAUGCAAGUCGAACGGAAAGGCCCUGCUUUUGUGGGGUGCUCGAGUGGCGAACGGGUGAGUAACACGUGAGUAACCUGCCCUUGACUUUGGGAUAACUUCAGGAAACUGGGGCUAAUACCGGAUAGGAGCUCCUGCUGCAUGGUGGGGGUUGGAAAGUUUCGGCGGUUGGGGAUGGACUCGCGGCUUAUCAGCUUGUUGGUGGGGUAGUGGCUUACCAAGGCUUUGACGGGUAGCCGGCCUGAGAGGGUGACCGGCCACGUUGGGACGGAGAUACGGCCCAGACUCCUACGGGAGGCAGCAGUGGGGAAUAUUGCACAAUGGGCGGAAGCCUGAUGCAGCAACGCCGCGUGCGGGAUGACGGCCUUCGGGUUGUAAACCGCUUUCGCCUGUGACGAAGCGUGAGUGACGGUAAUGGGUAAAGAAGCACCGGCUAACUACGUG
rnacentral:rRNA from 1 species